CUACCCCAGCUAUUCAGAUAAGAAUUAACAAUUUGAGUAUUACCAAAAUUCAUUCCCUCAAUACGCCCAUCCACAUCCAUUCCAAGCGGAUUACCACCCAUUUAGAAACUAUCUGAACCCUCCUCCCUAAGCCACCUACUACCCACCAAAACCUCCCUUCUCAACUGUACCUUUAAUGAUACAUCCCAACCGAGUUCAACAUCCUGAACUCCAAUUGUCAUCCUUACCGGGCAGAAGCCCUUACCAUGGCCUAACUUUCC
rnacentral:lncRNA from 1 species